ACGCCGCGUGAGGGAUGAAGGCCUCUGGGCUGUAAACCUCUUUUCUCAAGGAAGAAGAUCUGACGUUGAUUGGGGAAUAAGCCACGGCUAAUUCCGUGCCAGCAGCCGCGGCUAAUACGGGAGUGGCAAGCGUUAUCCGGAAUUAUUGGGCGUAAAGCGUCCGCAGGCGGCCUUGUAAGUCUGUCGUUAAAGCGUGGAGCUUAACUCCAUUUCAGCGAUGGAAACUACAAGGCUUGAGUGGGGUAGGGGCAGAGGGAAUUCCCGGUGUAGCGGUGAAAUGCGUAGAUAUCGGGAAGAACACCAGUGGCGAAGGCGCUCUGCUGGGCCAUAACUGACGCUCAUGGACGAAAGCUCGGGGAGGGAA
rnacentral:rRNA from 1 species